rnacentral:rRNA from 1 species
CCAAUAGCGUAUAUUAAAGUUGUUGCAGUUAAAAAGCUCGUAGUUGAAUUUCGGGGUUAGUAGGCUGGUCAUGCCUCCGGUAUGUACUGGUCUCACUGAUUCCUCCUUCCUGAUGAACCGUAAUGCCAUUAAUUUGGUGUUUCGGGGAAUUUGGACUGUUACUUUGAAAAAAUUAGAGUGUUUAAAGCAGGCUAACGCUUGAAUACAUUAGCAUGGAAUAAUGAAAUAGGACGUUCGAUCCUAUUUUGUUGGUUUCUAGGAUUGACGUAAUGAUUAAUAGGGAUAGUUGGGGGCAUUAGUAUUCAAUUGUCAGAGGUGAAAUUCUUAGAUUUAUUGAAGACUAACUACUGCGAAAGCAUUUGCCAAGGAUGUUUUCAUUAAUCAAGAACGAAAGUUAGGGGAUCGAAGACGAUCAGAUACCGUCGUAGUCUUAACCAUAAACUAUGCCGACUAGGGAUCGGAUGAUGUUAAUUUUUUAAUGACUCAUUCGGCGCCUUACG